rnacentral:tRNA from 1 species
ACCUGGACGUAGCGAAAUCUAGAUCUGCCACUGGACGCAGCGCUGCUCCGCUUCCUGGCUUCAUGCUGGUCUCCGUGCUGUUCCGCUUCGGCGCUUCCUCCUCUUCUCCACUUCGGCAGUUCCUGCUUGUCUCCACUUCGGCGUUGCUGAGCUGCUCCGCUUCGGCGCUUCUUGCUCGUCUCCACUUCGGUGCUGCUGAGCUGCUCCGCUGGCGGACUGGACGCGACUACGCGACGCCCCGACGCAGGCACGCGGCUGGAGGCUGUAGGCGGAGACACGGCUUGUACUGGGCCUAUUCGCUUGUACUAGGCCGCGACCGGGGCUGCAGCCCGGGCAGCCCCGGUCGUAGAUCCGCCCCUGGUCGUCAGGAUGCAGAAGCUGCUGCUCGAGUGAACGCAUGGGCAGAGAGAAAGCCAAGUCAGGUACAGUUUGUUGGAUCUUUUAUAGGCCUGACCUAUUUAUUGAAUAAACUAUAUGGUGUGUAAUAGUGGAGAAUACCAAUAGUACCAUAUUGGAAGUCCAAGGGUCUUUUGACUUGACUUAUAUGAUGAGAAUUAUUCCACCUAACUUGAGAAGUCAAGAAAUGGAUAAGGGCGUGCCACGCGCGCCGCUGCCGCCGGAGGGCCGGGCUCCGGCGUGGCGUGGCGAGGCAGGCGAGCGGGCGGGCAGGCAGGCAGGCGAGCAGACGUGGUUGUGUUAGUUGCAUCAGCUGCUUGUCUCUUGGCGUGCAACAUGCAACCCUUCUCCUUCAGCUUCUCUCUGCGAGAGGUUAAGUAGAGGAGAACCCCUGGCAUUUGGUACACGUGAACAUAACCAUUUCAGAGUCACAGCCCAGCCGCAAGUGAGAUUAUUCCCAUCCCCUGGCAUUUGGUACACGUGAACAUAACCAUUUCAGAGUCACAGCCCAGCCGCAAGUGAGAGUAUUCCCAUCUCGUGACUCUGUGCGUACAGAAAAACUCACAUUAGGUUUAGGGAUAAUCAGGCUCGAACUGAUGACUUCCACCACGUCAAGGUGACACUCUACCGCUGACUUAUAUCCCUUCCCCGUCCCAUCGAGAAAGAGAAUUAACGAAUCCUAAGGCAAAGGGGCGAGAAACGCAAGGCCACUCUUCCUCCGGGCUUUCUUUCCGCACUAUCUUCUUCCUGGCGACAUGACAAGGGAAGCUGGACAAGGAUUUGGAUCAUCAGAGCGCAUGAGAGGGAGGCUGGUUCUCGGCAACGCGCUCACUUCAGAGGAGCCUGGGCGAGGAAGCUGGACGCGUCGGAAACAAGAGACGGCGAGUUCCACCUCCUCGACGGGAGCUCGGUCGAGGCGCCAUUCAUGUCCAGCACAGACGACGACCAGUACAUUGCAUCGUACGGAGACUUGCUCAGGCUCCCGUACGAGCAAGGCGGUGACAAGCACUCAAGCAGAGGCAGUUCUCCAUGUACAUCCUCCUCCCGGAAGCACGAGACUGCCUCCGGGCCUUGGCCCGGCCGAGAAGCUGAGCGCCGAGCCUGGGUUCCUGGACAAGCACAUCCCAACGAGGAAGGUCCCAGUUGGGGAGACCAAGGUCCCCAGGUUCAAGGUGUCCUUCGUGUUCGAAGCGUCCGAGCUGCUCAAUAAGGCUCUGGGGCUCUGGCUGCCGUUUAGCGCCGAAGAAGCAGGGCUCGUCGUCGGUGAUCCACCCAUGUUGUAUGUCUCCUCCGUUUUCCACAGGUCGGUUGUGGAGGUUCACGAGGAAGGGACCGAGGCUGCUGCGGCAUCGGCUGUCCUGAUGAUGGUGGUGGGUGCUUCACUUGGGAGCAGCACGGAUUGCAGUUUCAUGGCGGAUCACCCUUUCGUCUUCCUGAUCCGAGAAGACACACCACCGGUGUGGUGCUGUUCGUCGGCCAUGUGGUCAAUCCCCUGCUCGCUUGAACGCAUAAUAAGUGGCUUUGUCUUGUCUGAAACAAACAAAGGUUGUGGGAUGAUCAGAUGAUGCAUUGUACUUCGCUCUAUGACGACGAUGAUCCUUGUAGCCAUGUAGUGGCUGGCUGGUU